UUACCCGCUGAACUUAAGCAUAUCAAUAAGCGGAGGAAAAGAAACCAACAGGGAUUGCCCUAGUAACGGCGAGUGAAGCGGCAACAGCUCAAAUUUGAAAUCUGGCCCCAGGCCCGAGUUGUAAUUUGCAGAGGAUGCUUCGGGCGCGGCGCCUCCCAAGUCCCCUGGAACGGGGCGCCUGAGAGGGUGAGAGCCCCGUACGGUUGGAUGCCUAGCCCUUGUGAAGCUCCUUCGACGAGUCGAGUAGUUUGGGAAUGCUGCUCAAAAUGGGAGGUAGACCCCUUCUAAAGCUAAAUACCGGCCAGAGACCGAUAGCGCACAAGUAGAGUGAUCGAAAGAUGAAAAGCACUUUGAAAAGAGGGUUAAACAGCACGUGAAAUUGUUGAAAGGGAAGCGCUUGUGACCAGACUUGCGCCGGGGCGAUCAUCCGACGUUCUCGUCGGUGCACUCGCCCCGGCUCAGGCCAGCGUCGGUUCGGGCGGGGGGAGAAAUGCGCUGGGAACGUGGCUCCCCCGGGAGUGUUAUAGCCCAGCGUGUCAUGUCCCCGCCUGGACCGAGGUUCGCGCUCUGCAAGGACGCUGGCGUAAUGGUCACCAGCGGCCCGUCUUGAAACACGGACCAAGGAGUCGAGGUUCUGCGCGAGUGUCUGGGUGUCAAACCCGCACGCGCAAUGAAAGUGAACGUAGGUGGGAGCUUCGGCGCACCACCGACCGAUCCUGAUGUUCUCGGAUGGAUUUGAGUAGGAGCGUAGGGCCUCGGACCCGAAAGAUGGUGAACUAUGCUUGGAUAGGGUGAAGCCAGAGGAAACUCUGGUGGAGGCUCGCAGCGGUUCUGACGUGCAAAUCGAUCGUCAAAUCUGAGCAUGGGGGCGAAAGACUAAUCGAACCAUCUAGUAGCUGGUUACCGCCGAAGUUUCCCUCAGGAUAGCAGUGUUGUCUUCAGUUUUAUGAGGUAAAGCGAAUGAUUAGGGACUCGGGGGCGCUAUUUUGCCUUCAUCCAUUCUCAAACUUUAAAUAUGUAAGAAGCCCCUGUUGCUCAAUUGAACGGGGGCCUUCGAAUGUACCAACACUAGU
rnacentral:rRNA from 1 species